UACGUAGGGUGCGAGCGUUGUCCGGAAUUAUUGGGCGUAAAGAGCUCGUAGGCGGUCUGUCGCGUCGGUCGUGAAAACUUGGGGCUUAACCCUGAGCUUGCGGUCGAUACGGGCAUGACUGGAGUUCGGCAGGGGAGACUGGAAUCCUGGUGUAGCGGUGAAAUGCGCAGAUAUCAGGAGGAACACCGGUGGCGAAGGCGGGUCUCUGGGCCGAUACUGACGCUGAGGAGCGAAAGCGUGGGGGAGCGAACAGG
rnacentral:rRNA from 1 species